UCGGGUAUGGUGUAAUGGCUCGACAUUGCCGCUUCUCAUUCGUUUCGAGAUUUUGAAUCUUUCCGCGGCAGCUCGGGGUUCGAUUCCCAGUACCCGAA